GUUAAACUAGAAACCCGUGUUCACCUAAAGCGUCAUUUCAGUAAGACCUUUUCACAAAUCUUGACAUUUUUAAAUAUUAUAGGGCAAACUAUAAAUAUUUUAUGGUCACAUCGAAAAAAUUUAAAAAUAUUGUUAGGAAUAUUUUUUUUCUUUGAACUAAUACUUGAAACAACUUAUUUGAGGCCCCAACAUAAACCAGAUGUAUCGAGUCCACAUGCAGCAUGAAGGUGAGCGGGAAUGUAGCUCAAGACUACAAUUGUAUAAAAUUUGAAAGUUUGGUAGUUUGAAGAAUUUGAAAAGGCUAACAUUUUACAUCUCAAUGAGAUUAAAAACUAACAAAUAUUUUGCAAAUAUCAAAAUACAACGCUGACGAAUCUGGCAACUCGCAUAACUAGAAAGAUUCGAUAGAAAUAAGGUCAAACACUAUAUUUUAAUUUGGACUAAGAGCACACAACAAUAAAAACGAUUGGACUGGAUUAUAUUGCAAAAUACAUCAUUUACUAACGUUUAGUUAUAAUAAUUUAUAAAAAUAAUUUGUUUAUAUUUUCGGAAAUCUUGCUACUAUGUACCUACAUAUAUUCAAAUCAUUUAAAUGACUUAUUGCCUUUGGUAUCCUUCUUCUCCCAGCUUCAGUUUAUUUAGUUUUUCACCCUUAAACAGCUGUUCGCGUGAUGCAGUUUU